GGCGUUUCAGUCAACAUAAAAUAACAAUUGUUAGGAAUGCAUAUCAGUGCACAUUUUAUAUUUUAAAGUGAUAAAAACAGUAGUGUAUUGUAUAAACUUUAGCACCUGUAUUUUAUCAUAGUGGGCUAUGACCUACAAACUAGGAAUCAUGCCUCGUAUAAUUUGCUCCUAUGUCAAUGUGUUGUCUGGGGGACAGGGCCCCUGAGAGGGAGUCGUCAUUCGGUAUUAGGAGCUCGUCAGGUCAUACCAGGACGUGUAUCUUCCUCUUGGUCGUUUAAUUAUAUUAUAUUUUUAUCUCUAGUCAGCACAGAUAUCAUCUGCAAUAAUCAUUCAAGAUUUUAUGCGGCUCUGCCUAUUUGUAUUGUAUGUAUUUUAUGUAUUUAUAGUGGUGUAGGGGAUACCACUUAUUAGGUGUAUUUGAGCUGCUGAAUUCUCUUUUUUUCGUCCACUUUGUGUACAUUUAUCUAUUUUCAUAUUAUAGACUGUAUUUAACAUUGAGAAACAUAAAAAAGGCAUGCAUUCAGGAGCCGAUAACUAAAUUGUCAACAUAAGGACCAAAAACAUUCUGUUUAGUCAAGGCGCUUAGUUAUAGCCUGGUAUGUGAGGGUUGUGCGUAGUCCCUAACCGGAGGGGACGUCGGGUGGGGUGAUGGUUGGUUGGCCGUCAGUAGGCUCUGUUAAUGUCUUUCCUAUGGUUUGGACUAUGGUAAGCACAGACUUUUUCUGGGGUAUUAAUCAGUUUAGUGCAAUGAGUUUAGGGGUAGAGGUUAGUAACGUAAAGGUUGGGUCAAGGGAGCGCUAGAGUCUUAAGUUUAGACUGAGAUGUGGUUCCCUAUGUCACUGCUCCUUGUCCAUUUCGUGGGAUGAAAGGGUGACAUUGUCCACAUCCCAUGUCCUGAUGGUAUCUUGGGCCCUCCGCUCCAGUGGGGCAUCUCUGAUGCCAAUCGCUGCCAGGAAGGUGUUGGUCUCCGCCACGUCGGUGGCGUUAAUGUUUGCCGUCUUUGAUAACCAUGAGGGAUCCAGGGGUAGUCCAUCUAUAUGUCAUUCCUACCUCUUGCAGCCGUUGUGUGAUGGGCUUCAUUGUUUUUCUCCACAAUAGGGUGGAGCGUUGGAGAUCUUGGAAGAGUGAGAUCUUGUGAGUCUCAAAGUCCAUAGGUGACUUAUUUUGAAUUGCUUCCAGCAAGGCUUGUUUGUCUUGUCUCGUUCCGCAUCGUAGUGUAAUGUCUAUAGAGGCUGUAAGCAGCGCCCUAGAGGACUUUGCGAUACGGUAUGCGCCGUCGUGUGCGAAUUGCUUAGCUUGUUUUGCUGGGAGUAGUGUAGAGCCUAGUUGCCUGAUGAAGUGCGGUAAUUCUUCCGUGGUCACUGCGUCCACGACCCCCCUGAUCUUUAUGUUCUUCUGGCGGCAUCUUUCGUGCAGUGCAUCCAGUCUCAGAGACAUGUUAGAGUGUUGCUUUUGUAAUUUAGUGACUGAAUCUCCCACUGCUGCUAGUUUGCUUUGCAGGUCUGCUAUGUUUGUGUCAGACGCCUGGACGCGGGUGGGGACCGCCUGUACCUCAGUCCGCACCAUGGCUAUGUCAGCAGUGAAAAGCUUUUGGAUUCUAUCGAAGAGGUUAUCAAUGUCCGGUUUUGUUGCAGGUACUAAGUUGGCUGGGGUCCGUGUGGUUUGGAGCCCCCCUGUGGGUGGUGCCUGUGCUUCUUCAUUCACCCCUGCCUUCUCCUGGGGGUCACAGGCCUCUGUUUCGGCCUGCACCAGCUCCCUGGGCUUUGGUGUGCGUUGGAGCAGCUUGCUGAUGUCCUGUGUGUUUUGGAGCGUGGAUGCCUGAGAUUUGUGGGAUUUUUUUGCCCAUCUCCUCCAGCUCUAGGGUCAGUGCCUGCUGGUGAUUGGGUGUGAGACAGUCAGUAUCCCACCAGGCCGCGGAUGCAUGCGGUGUACUCCUCUGGCUGGCCGCGUGGGAGGACGGCGUUUCUGUUUGGCACCUGGUUGCUGAAAAAAGGCAUUGGCGUGUGCCUGUCAGUCUCCUGUAGACGAAUCCAGUCUUCAGGUUAGUCGGAGUACGGCUGAUUUGGGAGUAUUUCCCGGUUUUCAUGCAGGAAUACCAGAGCUCCAGAAAUGGCGUCUGCGCCGUUCGCCCGCCCUGCCCCGCGGAAAU